AUUGAACGCUGGCGGCAGGCUUAACACAUGCAAGUCGAGCGGAGAUGAGGUGCUUGCACCUUAUCUUAGCGGCGGACGGGUGAGUAAUGCUUAGGAAUCUGCCUAUUAGUGGGGGACAACAUUCCGAAAGGAAUGCUAAUACCGCAUACGUCCUACGGGAGAAAGCAGGGGAUCUUCGGACCUUGCGCUAAUAGAUGAGCCUAAGUCGGAUUAGCUAGUUGGUGGGGUAAAGGCCUACCAAGGCGACGAUCUGUAGCGGGUCUGAGAGGAUGAUCCGCCACACUGGGACUGAGACACGGCCCAGACUCCUACGGGAGGCAGCAGUGGGGAAUAUUGGACAAUGGGGAAACCCUGAUCCAGCCAUGCCGCGUGUGUGAAGAAGGCCUUAUGGUUGUAAAGCACUUUAAGCGAGGAGGAGACUACUGAGACUAAUACUCUUGGAUAGUGGACGUUACUCGCAGAAUAAGCACCGGCUAACUCUGUGCCAGCCGCCGCCGUAA
rnacentral:rRNA from 1 species